rnacentral:rRNA from 1 species
GAAAAUUGUGAAAUUCAAUUUCUAAUAAAAAGUGACAAAAUAGCAAUAUUUUCAAGAAACAACUUUUUAAAUUCUAAUUUAAUAGAAGUCAAGUUAUGGUCUGAGAGAUAACUUAAAAAUGGUAAGUUAUUUAGGAACAAGAUAAAAGGCAAAACACCAAACUUCAUACAAACUUAAAUGUUUGACAUUUAAAAAUUAAAGAGAUUUUUUUUUAACGUGUAUUUGAGACAAAUAAGCCAACCUUGGUACAUAACCGCUGAAAACUAAAAAACCGUACCCUAAACCAACACAGGUGGAUAGGUCGAGUAGACUAAGGUGUAUGAGAUAAUUAUGUUGAAGGAACUCGGCAAAAUGACUCUGUAACUUCGGGAGAAAGAGUACCUUUUUAUUUAAGUGUUUAUCGACGAAAUAAUA